UGUACAGGUGAGCAUUGACCCCGCGGACGCCGUGGAGAGCGUCCUGAACGUUGAGAAGGACGGCGAGCCUCCCGGUCCUGCGCAGGCUGCCUUCCACGGCCUCGUGCCUGGUCGCGCAUACAACAUCACCGUAGAGACGGUGAGCGAAGACAUGGUCUCUGUACCGACGACACAAGAGUACCACACCAUCCCCCCACCCCCCCGCAACGUUACCUUCGACAUGAGGCGUCUCACUCCAGACUCCUUCGUCGUCAGAUGGGAGGCUCCUAAAGUCAAGGGGGAGUUUGACCGGUACCAGCUAAGCCUAGGCGUCAAGAAGCAGGCGCCUAUCAUCGUGGACGC
rnacentral:lncRNA from 1 species